GGCUUAGGUCCUAAUCGAGCUGUUAGUCAUAGCAGGUUUCCCAAGCCUUGGGGCUUGCCUGUGCCGGGGGCUAAUCUCUGCGGGGUGUAAGCCAGGCAUGCUGCUGGGGGCUCUGCUCUGCUCCAGGCAGCACAUGUGAAGGCUUGCCUGGGAAAGCAGGCGCUUCAGGGGGCAGAUCUUUCCUUUCUGGGAGGGAACGGUGGGGAGGAACUGAAGCAACCAGGCUACCUCUCGAUCAGUGUGUUUGAGCAAUGAAAAAUCUCUUUGAAUGCUCGCUAGGGAACCCACCAGGGUUUCAUAAGAAAAUAUUUGUGCUCCGCAGGCUGAUGCGGUGACAGCUUCCAGCAGAGAUGAGCUGGCUGGCUAGACAGGAGGCUGCGCACCAAAAAGAGAGGGCAAAAGGUGCUGCCUGCCAAAGCAGCAGCUGGGAGAAGGCGACUGGACUGCACAGCGUCAGCGCACACAUGGUCGGUGGGGAAGCGCGAGCCCAGCUUCAAUCCUUGUCAAUGGCACCUCGUUGACUUUUAACGCUUCCUUAUCGUGUCUGCCCUCACCUCGUAGCAGCGCUGAUAAAAUGCCAUCGCUGGUGUAAUCUCCUGAGCAGCUCUGCGGAAAACCUUGCAGAGCAUGGGAGGCUGGAUCGCCUGCAGCCAGCAGCCAGCGUGGGACUGCGGUCCGGAGCAAGGUGAGCAACUUAAAGUGGUACACUUGGGAGAGCCCUUUUUAUGGUUUUGAAUUAAGGACCCCUUACUAUAAAACGAUAAGCAACAACUGAGCAGGUAUGUCACUUUUGGAACCUGUAACUGGUGCCAAACUGCUGUACAGUAUCUUGCCACUACAGGAGAUCAAUGAAAACUCGCAAGGAACUGUCUGGAAAGAAGAAUUUUCCUUCUGAGUGAGAAAUUUGGAUGCUUAAGAUUGCUUUUUCCCCCCCUUUCUUUUAAUUUUUUUCUUUUUUCAAAUGGAUCCUAGACUUAGUGUCCUUCUUCCUGAAUUGGAGAGAAAAGUCAUGACGCUAAAAUUCCUUGCUGGAGGAAAAGCUUCUGAAGAUUUUAUCAAAGACCUUACGAUCAAGAUCCUCCACUUUUUUUGUGGCUGGAGGUUUGAUUUCAGCUUCAUGGGUCCAACUAUUUUAAAUGAUAAAAGGUGAAACAAUGGACUUCUUUAGAGGAAGUAAUUGUCAUUAACAACAGAAACUUCCAGUGAAAUCAAUGAAAAGUUUCAAUUUGACUUGCUGUUUUCCUCUUCCACCUUAUUCAGAAAAUAGGCUUAUGAAGCUCUCAGCAUAAUUUUUAGUUCUUUGGCUACAGCUGUACUCUGUGCAAUGUUAUCCAUUGGAUGUUACUAUCCUGUAUCCCUUAUAUAGCACUUGUAACCAUCCCUGUAAUCGCUUCCACAUGCUGCGAACUUGCAGAAUGGAGCAAACUCCUUCUGCAUUCCUGUAUUCACAUGGUCUUUGCCAAGUUCUUCAUCUCCAAUACUUGCUUGGAUACCUUGAA